AAGAAGUCGUCCAUCUCCUACAAUUAUAAAAUGAAUCAUUUUCUUAAAUAUAAUUUAGUCAUAGUAUAACAUCUGUUUAAAAUAAAGUAUGUGUAACUAACUUACAGGACAACCAGCAGACUGCAAUUUGAUAGAAACAGCUAUGUGUAACUAACUUACAGGACAACCAGCAGACUGCAAUUUGAUAGAAACAGCCGAAUGAAACCAUGGAAGAAGCCAAGAACUACUCCAGAAGCUUGUUUGAAAGUUAAUGGGUUAUCAAAGGAGACUGUGUUUGCC
rnacentral:lncRNA from 1 species